AUUGAACGCUGGCGGCAGGCCUAACACAUGCAAGUCGAGCGAGCGGCGGACGGGUGAGUAAUGUAUGGGGACUGCCCGAUAGAGGGGGAUAACUACUGGAAACGGUAGCUAAUACCGCAUACUAUCGGAUAACCCAUAUGGGAUUAGCUAGUAGGUGGGGUAAUGGCUAACCUAGGCGACGAUCCCUACCUGGUCUGAGAGGAUGAUCAGCAAGACUGGAACUGAGAAACGGCCCAGACUCCUAGGGAGGCAGCAGUGGGGAAUAUUGCACAAUGGGCGCAAGCCUGAUGCAGCCAUGCCGCGUGUAUGAAGAAGGCCCUAGGGUUGUAAAGUACUUUCAGUCGGGAGGCGUGACCGACAGAAGAAGCACCGGCGAACGCCGUGCCAGCAGCCGCGGUAAUAC
rnacentral:rRNA from 1 species